GCCGGCGGCUGCGCAGUGCGCGCCGGCAUCUAACUCCAUUCCCCAACACUCAUUGCGGCUGACCGUCGGUCACAUGACCGCACAACAUAGACGCCCCACGGCAGCUGCGCAGUGCGUGCCGGCGUCUAACUACAUUUCCCAACACUCAUUGCGGCCGACUGCCGGUUACAUGACCGCACAAUAUAGAGCAGUUCAAAUAUAAAACUAAC